rnacentral:lncRNA from 1 species
UCUAAGCCCUGCACUUCAACCAAUCUAUUGGAAUCUGAAAGAUUCAAGCACCGCAAGCGUUUCAAGUGUGAUAGAUUUGGUAUUUUUUCCAUUGUUGUACAACGUCUUGCUGUAGCGUCUCUAGAUUAGGAGGAAGUUCCGGGAGUGACACAAGACUCUUGUAGUCAUUCAAGAAAAGGUUGGUUAGAUUGGAUAGUUGACAGAGGGUAGAAGGUAGGUUUCAGAAAUGGUUUCCAC